rnacentral:rRNA from 1 species
UACGGGGGGGGCAAGCGUUGUUCGGAAUUACUGGGCGUAAAGGGCGCGUAGGCGGUCCGACAAGUCAGGGGUGAAAUCCUGCAGCUUAACUGCAGAAGUGCCUUUGAUACUGUCGGUCUUGAGGGAGAUAGGGGUGUGCGGAACUCACAGUGGAGCGGUGAAAUGCGUUGAUAUUGUGAGGAACGCCGGAGGCGAAAGCGGCGCACUGGAUCUCUUCUGACGCUGAGGCGCGAAAGCUAGGGGAGCAAACGGG